rnacentral:rRNA from 1 species
GACGGGGGGUGCUAGCGUUUUUCGGAAUUACUGGGCGUAAAGGGCGCGUAGGCGGCUUUGCAAGUUGGGUGUGAAAGCCCGGGGCUCAACCUCGGAACUGCAUCCAAGACUGCAUGGCUCGAGACCGGGAGAGGAGAGUGGAAUACCCAGUGUAGAGGUGAAAUUCGUAGAUAUUGGGUGGAACACCGGUGGCGAAAGCGGCUCUCUGGCCCGGUUCUGACGCUGAGGCGCGAAAGCGUGGGGAGCAAACAGG